GGUGUAGUGACAAAGUGGUUUGAGUGCUAGGCUAUGAUUCUGGAGAGCAGGGUUUGAUUCCCUGCUCAGCCA